GUCGGGAUAGCUCAGUUGGUAGAGCAGAGGACUGAAAAUCCUCGUGUCACCCCGGUUUCAAAUA
rnacentral:tRNA from 1 species